rfam:Candidatus Omnitrophica bacterium 4484_70.2 ex4484_70.2_scaffold_57, whole genome shotgun sequence.
AGGCCUGUAGCUCAAUUGGCUAGAGCACUGGUCUCCAAAACCAGGGGUUGGGCGUUCGACUCGCCCCAGGCCUG